AAACCACUUACCGAGUCGUUCGCCGAGGCCGAAAAGGGAGGGGAAGGGAGAGACCCAGUUUAAGAGGGGCCUGGGCGGUCAGCACCCAGCGGCAGCCAACCAAAAAGUUGCCCCAGCGCCCCGCCCGGCUCGGGACCCGGCCCAGCACCAGGCCCAGCACCCGCCCCGCCAGCGGCGCGCGGAGGCCCUCGCGCGUCCCCUGCCGGCGGCCUGGGGCAAGCGGGGCAGGCGGCGGCCGCCCGGGUCUACCCUAGCUCGGGCCUCGGGCCGACCGACCGAACUUUUCGCCUCAGAGCCCUUCCUAAGCGUGGUGUCCAUUUACCUCGCGGCGGGUUCGACGGAGCUCCUGGCACCCUAAUAAUAUUAGAUAUUUAUGCCCGUCUCCCCUUUCCCCACCUCAAGUAUCCCAUGUUCUCCCCCAGGGGGGUCUGCAAGCCACUAGAAGUCCCCAGCCUUGCUUUUUUUAAAAAAACUAUUUUUUUAAAUGAAUUUAUUUAUUUUUGGCUGCGUCGGGUCUUCGUUGUUGCACGUGGGGUGGGCUUUCUCUAGUUGCGGGGCGCGGGGGCUACUCUUUGUUGCCUUGCGCGGGCUUCUCACUGCGGUGGCUUCUCUUGUUGCAGAGCUCGGGCUCUAGGCGCGCGGGCUUCAGUAAUUGUGACUCGCGGGCUCUAGAGGGCAGGCUUAGUAGUUGUGGUGCACGGGCUUCGUCGCUCCACAGCAGGUGGGAUCUUCCCAGACCAGGGCUCGAACCCGUGCCCCCUGCAUUGGCAGGCAGAUUACUAACCACUGUGCUACCAGGGAAACCCCAAGCCUUGCUUUUAUAUUUGGUUUUAUCCUUAAUCUGUCCCUGGAAGUUUGAGAUUUGAGGCUUCCUAGGUACUGGAGCACUUGAGAGCACUUUUGGUUGGAGGGACUGUAUAGGGCAACAAAUAUUUACUGAAUGCCCACUCAGCGGUAGGCACCGUGAUCCGUGCUGUGAAGUUGAAUGAGAAACUGCCCCUGCCCUCAAGAAACAUAAAGUGAUAAAAGCCUAUGCAACGUGCCAAGGGCCUAGCACAAAGCCAUGAAACCCAGCCUGCUAAGGGGAUCAGGGAAGGCUUCCUGGAUGAGGGGUAUACCUAGGCUGAGUCUAGCAUUACUAGCAGGAAGUUGGCUUCACAAUAUAGAAGCCAAGAGAGUUAAAGAAGGAUCAUAGAGUAGAAGGACUUUUAGAUCAUACAGAGCUUCUGGUGGAAUAGAGCCCACCUUAGGGUGUUCUCCAAAAGCAGACUUGUCUUGAUCAUGGAAUGUAAGCUCCAUGCAGACUUGCUUUCCCAGUCUCCUGGAUCCUCUGAAUUCAGCAUAGUGCCUGGAACAUAUUCAGGUGAUAUCCAACGGCUCAUCUUUCUCAAAGAAGAGCAAGUCCAUCAGAAGGCUGUGAGCUGCGAAGAUUCGUGUUCUUUUUCUUCCCUCGCUGCCCAGGAUCAGUAUAAGAACAGGAACCAUGGCAAGGCCAGGCUUACCAACUCUGGAAUAAGGCUGGGGAAUGGAAGGCUGUUCAGCCUACAGCAAACUCCAGGUAGGACUAUCUUAUUG